rnacentral:rRNA from 1 species
GACGAACGCUGGCGGCGUGCCUAAUACAUGCAAGUCGAACGAGAGCGACCGGUGCUUGCACUGGUCAAUCUAGUGGCGAACGGGUGAGUAACACGUGGGUAACCUGCCCAUCAGAGGGGGAUAACAUCCGGAAACGGAUGCUAAAACCGCAUAGGUCUUCGAACCGCAUGGUUUGAAGAGGAAAAGAGGCGCAAGCUUCUGCUGAUGGAUGGACCCGCGGUGCAUUAGCUAGUUGGUGAGGUAACGGCUCACCAAGGCCGUGAUGCAUAGCCGACCUGAGAGGGUGAUCGGCCACAUUUGGACUGAGACACGGCCCAAACUCCUACGGGAGGCAGCAGUAGGGAAUCUUCCGCAAUGGACGCAAGUCUGACGGAGCAACGCCGCGUGAGUGAAGAAGGUUUUCGGAUCGUAAAACUCUGUUGUUAGAGAAGAACAAGUGCUAGAGUAACUGUUAGCGCCUUGACGGUAUCUAACCAGAAAGCCACGGCUAACUACGU